GACGAACGCUGGCGGCGUGCUUAACACAUGCAAGUCGAGCGGUAAGGCCCUUUCGGGGGUACACGAGCGGCGAACGGGUGAGUAACACGUGGGUGACCUGCCCUCAGCUCUGGGAUAAGCCUGGGAAACCGGGUCUAAUACCGGAUAUGACUCCAUGACGCAUGUUGUGGGGUGGAAAGCCUUGUGCGGCUGAGGAUGGGCCCGCGGCCUAUCAGCUUGUUGGUGGGGUGANGGCCUACCAAGGCGACGACGGGUAGCCGGCCUGAGAGGGCGACCGGCCACACUGGGACUGAGACACGGCCCAGACUCCUACGGGAGGCAGCAGUGGGGAAUCUUGCGCAAUGGGCGAAAGCCUGACGCAGCGACGCCGCGUGGGGAUGAAGGUCUUCGGAUUGUAAACCCCUUUCGGGAGGGAAGAUGGAAUGGGGUAACCCAUUCGGACGGUACCUCCAGAAGCAGCCACGGCUAACUUCGUGCCAGCAGCCGCGGUAAU
rnacentral:rRNA from 1 species